rnacentral:rRNA from 1 species
GAUGAACGCUGGCGGCGUGCCUAAUACAUGCAAGUCGAGCGAACGGACGAGAAGCUUGCUUCUCUGAUGUUAGCGGCGGACGGGUGAGUAACACGUGGAUAACCUACCUAUAAGACUGGGAUAACUUCGGGAAACCGGAGCUAAUACCGGAUGAUAUUUUGAACCGCAUGGUUCAAAAGUGAAAGACGGUCUUGCUGUCACUUAUAGAUGGAUCCGCGCUGCAUUAGCUAGUUGGUAAGGUAACGGCUUACCAAGGCAACGAUGCAUAGCCGACCUGAGAGGGUGAUCGGCCACACUGGAACUGAGACACGGUCCAGACUCCUACGGGAGGCAGCAGUAGGGAAUCUUCCGCAAUGGGCGAAAGCCUGACGGAGCAACGCCGCGUGAGUGAUGAAGGUCUUCGGAUCGUAAAACUCUGUUAUUAGGGAAGAACAUAUGUGUAAGUAACUGUGCACAUCUUGACGGUACCUAACCAGAAAGCCACGGCUAACUACGUG